rnacentral:rRNA from 1 species
AACGAACGCUGGCGGCAGGCUUAACACAUGCAAGUCGAACGCCCCGCAAGGGGAGUGGCAGACGGGUGAGUAACGCGUGGGAAUCUACCCAAUUCUACGGAACAACAGUUGGAAACGACUGCUAAUACCGUAUACGCCCUACGGGGGAAAGAUUUAUCGGAAUUGGAUGAGCCCGCGUUGGAUUAGCUAGUUGGUGGGGUAAAGGCCUACCAAGGCGACGAUCCAUAGCUGGUCUGAGAG